AGCUUGGAUCUGUAAAAAGAGGCACUUCAUCAUUUUUUUUCUUCUACAAAGGAGAGGCAUUGUAAAACUCCACAUGUACAGUGUUAGGUGUUGUUUUGGUUACAGUACUAUCUGCUGUAGAUGCUGAUGAAGACAUGGAUGCUCUAGCUUGCUUUCAAUUAGUUUUGUGUAGAGAGAAGCUUAAGUCUUUGUGUGUUCGAAGAAGAAAACAACGUCAAGAUUGCGAUGUUAGAUUGAGUCUGACUGCUUCAAUAUGAAUCGGACUGAAGUAUUUGACUGGGGUUUUUUUAUAGGAUGCAUGAUAUAGUUUGUAUCUUAUGGAAAAGCUUAGUUUUUGAGCGUACAACACAAUCAACUAUUCAGCUGUUCUAAGUAAUAUUCACUCUAAACCUCUUCCGCUCCUACGUAAAUAUUGGUGAUGGUCUUUUCUGUGCCCACAAGUCUAUACUCUAGGAAUAGAUAUUCUUUAUAAAUUAAGAUUUUUGUUUUUAAAAAAAGUACCCUUGUUAAAAAGCAAGGAGAAAAGGCGGUAGUCCUACACCAAAAAACUUACUGUAAUAGCAAAGAGAAUGCUGUAUCUAUACUGUACACUGAAGAAAAUUUAUAUGUAUUGUAAAAUUACAAUUUUAAGCAGAAAACUAAAAUAAAAGCUAACUCUACAUUUAUGAACUGUAAAUAUAUACUGUAAGUAAUGUAAAAAGUCUAUCUGAACUACCCAUAGAAGUGAUCGUCAUAGUGCUUUUUACCCACAAAAACGGUGUCCAGUCUAGAUGCAAUGGAUAGUAGACUAUGACAUUUAAGCAUCUGAAUUGUGUCUAAACAUCUUCGUGCAGAUUUGUACACUUUCACAAACUACACAAUUUUGGCUAAACAAUGUCUCUGUGAAAUAAAACAUUAUUUUUAUUUUUUUGUCGCUGUUCUUUUUCCUUUUUACAUAUGAACAAACACAGAGUAACAGUAAUAUCGGAUAUUAAAGCCUCAUAGCACUUCAACACAAGCGAGAUGAGACAGCUUUAAUAUAUGAAGCCUGAUACUAGGACCGGUGACGCUGUUGCCUCCAUGCUUGGUUAAAACGCAUGGCCGAAUGAAUCUAUACCAAAAUGACAAGAGAAAUCGGCGAUUUGCAUGUAGCUGUAUGUCCUUCAUAACCUUCACUAGACAAUUUACCAAUACUGUAUUGCAAGGUUGCUUUCUCUUAAAUAUAUAUCCCUUGUGUAAAAUAAACGCUAGAAAUUGCAACAGCACCUUUACAAGCAAUAGUGCAUUUGGUCGCUUGAGUCAAACAUGAUUAAGGCUAUCUGUAAAGACACAGCUGAUGGCCAGUGUAAGUCCCUCCCUCCCACCCCACUCUCUGGUAGCGCUCAUUAAGUGCUUUAAUGCGUCGAAAUGUUAACGUUUAUGCUGGCCUGACCCUUCUUUAGAGACACGUAUGUUCUGGUAUAACGUUUCUGCGAUUUGCGGCAGUUGAAAUCCAUACGGACGGUUACUGAAUGGGAAAAAAUAACAUUUAGAACCAACAAACGAUUCACAACCAAUGGAUGAGACAGGACUCUUUCGACUAUCAACUGUACCACCGCCACCGCCACAAACCACCAACAGAUCAUUUAGCUACUCAACACAACCGUCAAAAUGGUACGCCAAGCUGAAGUAAAACAAGAUCGGGAUCUGAAACUCGACUGGAAAUGACCAACAAACACGUAUGCAAGUCUAAGGCAACACCUCAGACUGAUACAACACGGCCUGUGGCCAAACUUUGCAGCAUAAUUGAGUUAAAAAGCGAUGUUUGGUCUCGAAGCACUGGAGAACGAUACAGAAUAUUCAACAGGCGUAUUGAAGUCGUUGAAUUGACUUUGACAGCACUGGGUUAGGCCAGAUCAUUUCAUUCAGACUUAAAGCAAGGGCCUUAACAGCAUCAUGUUCCUUGUGUCAUUUAUUGUAGGGAAAAUAGUAAUGAUUGUUCUUGAGAAAGUUACCAAAUGCACUCCUAAGUAUGUAAAAUAACAUGAUGUCACUGUUGCCGUACCUGUACUGCAUAUUGCAAAGGAAGCCCUACAGUUCAGGCAUCACAAAUUGUACAGCACACACAUAGAGACAUACCAGAGGAAUAUACACACACAUGCUCAUACAAACACAUACAUAAAUGUGCUUGAUCCCUAGACAGCACUAAAAAGCUUUGCACAAUGACCCUCUCGUAGAAACGUACUUGUUCUAAAAGACAUUUAUCAUAUAUUUAGGCACACACUACAAUUCUUUUUUUUCUUUCGUUUUUUUGUGGUUUUGAUGUUUUUUUGUUUGUUUAUUUUGUUUUGUUUUUUUGUUUUUUUUAGUUUGGUAUGAAUGAGAAGAAAACCAAGCAUUUGCUUCAAUUAAUUAACUGCACUGGGAUAGUGUUGGGAUGGGGGAGGGAUGGAAGUGGUGUAAGCAAUACAUCAUUAGGAUCUGACCAGGGAUACGUUUACAAUGGUUUAAAUAUAAAUAAAGAAGAAAAAAAUGCUUGCAUAAACAGCACAAAGUAAAUACAAUAGCAAGUGAUGAUAACAAAGCCAAGAAAAAAUUUAAUCAUCUAAUCAAAAAAAGAACAAAGCUACUCAAACACAAGUGAACUAUAGAACCAAAUAUUUGAUAAAAAAAAAAUGAUUAUCUCUAAAAACUAGAACAUCUCUGGUAACAGUAGUGCACUUAUUGGUUUAAGCAGUGCAACAUAUAUGCAAGAAAACAAUGCAGUCCUCUUAUCAAGCUUUUAAGAAAAGAUAUUUCCUUUAUAAACAAUGAAAGAAAAGAAAACCAUAGAAUUUAAUUUCUUAAGUAAAACAAUUCAAUGUUUAAGCACAGGAUUUUGAAGUAAAUGUGCAAAGUAGCACUGUUUUUCAAACCUACAACUUAUGCGACCAAAUUCCAAAAUGGAAAAAGUUUAAAUAAAUUGUGAUCGAUACAUUUUGUCAUCAUUUUAACUACACUCCAAAAGUGUAUCUACUCAGAUAAGUGAGCAAAAUUGCCUGAUUGCAGUUGCACGGCAGAUGAGUCUUUUUAGAUCCAUAAAAUACGUGUAUAACAAAACCAAAUAUGAACACAGAGCUUCUGAGUGACGUAACACCAAAAAUUCAAACCUUCUCAACUCACUUCCGAAGUACACACACAAUGUCUAGAUAUCGGUAAAAUUGGGAAUGUUUCUUAUUGUUUGGUGUGUUUUCUCCCUGUGGUAUAUUAAAGAAGAAUGACCGUGUUGAAUUUAUUGUGGUUCAGUAGAUGUUUCAUUUUCUGUUGCCUUGCGUCCCUAUAUCCUUCGCCUGCUCUCUCGCCCCAUGUGUAUAUCCCAUCAGGCAAAAAACAAGGACGGCUGUUUGAGCCACUAGGUGGGGCUUUAGGAACAGGAGUAGUGCAUUUUAGUUACCCCACCGGCCCAAACAACUGAGUCAUAGUAGUCGCCGCUAACAGGAAAUACAUAAUUUUUAUGCAUUUAGGAGGUUAUUUCUGUCCAGUUCACUUUUGAUCUAAUCUAGCCCAUGGCUCCAAAUAGCUUAACGUUUCCCAUGUUCACUGAGAAAUAAUAGAGAAAUAUCCACAUAAUGUUGGAUUCUACAGCUGAUAACAGUCUCAAAGUGAGCACGUGAGGAGCAGCAAUUAACUUGGAUUUUGGGCCUGUUUGCAUACUGAAAUCUGCCAUUUUCCUUUUUUCUUUUUGUCCAAAAAAAAAAAA